rnacentral:rRNA from 1 species
AACGAACGCUGGCGGCAUGCCUAACACAUGCAAGUCGAACGAAACCUCCGGGUCUUUUUGCGCACGGCGUCGUAACGCGUGGGAAGCUUCCCUUAGGUUCGACAUACCUCUCCGACAGGGGUGCUAACACCGGACAAGGUCUUCUGACCAAAGAUUUAUUGCCUUUGGUUGGGCCCUCGUUGGAUUAGCUUGUUGGUAGGGUAAAAGCCGAUCAAGGCGACGAUCCAUAGCUGGUCUGAGAAGAUGAUCAGCGACACUGGGACUAGGACACGGCCGAGACUCCUACGCGAGGCAGGAGUGGGGGAUAUAGCAAAGUGGGGGAAGGUAUGAUGCAGCAAUGCCGGGUGAGCGAUGAAGGUAUUAGGGUAGUAAAGCUCUUUUACCCGGGAUGAUAAUGACGGUACCGGGAGAAUAAGCUCCGGCUAACUACGUG